rnacentral:rRNA from 1 species
GAUGAACGCUGGCGGCGUGCCUAAUACAUGCAAGUCGAGCGAACAGACGAGGAGCUUGCUCCUCUGACGUUAGCGGCGGACGGGUGAGUAACACGUGGAUAACCUACCUAUAAGACUGGGAUAACUUCGGGAAACCGGAGCUAAUACCGGAUAACAUGUUGAACCGCAUGGUUCAACAGUGAAAGACGGUCUUGCUGUCACUUAUAGAUGGAUCCGCGCCGCAUUAGCUAGUUGGUAAGGUAACGGCUUACCAAGUCAACGAUGCGUAGCCGACCUGAGAGGGUGAUCGGCCACACUGGAACUGAGACACGGUCCAGACUCCUACGGGAGGCAGCAGUAGGGAAUCUUCCGCAAUGGGCGAAAGCCUGACGGAGCAACGCCGCGUGAGUGAAGAAGGUCUUCGGAUCGUAAAACUCUGUUAUUAGGGAAGAACAAAUGUGUAAGUAACUAUGCACGUCUUGACGGUACCUAAUCAGAAAGCCACGGCUAACUACGUG